GUUCUGCAAUGAGGAAUGAUAUAAAAUUACACAUGUUAGACUACUGAGAUGGGCACCAUCGAUGAGUCAACAGCUUUAUACUGAGCAGCUC